rnacentral:tRNA from 1 species
UGGGGCGUGGCCAAGCGGUAAGGCGGCGGAUUUUGGCUCCGUUAUUCGGUGGUUCGAAUCCAUCCGCCCCAG